CCAUGGUCUGCCCACCCUCACAGGGAGGAAUUUCUUCCUAAUAUCCAAUCUAAUCCCUCCCACCCUCAGCUUAAGGCCAUUUCUGCUUGUCCUAUCUCUUCAAGCCCUUGUGAAAUGUCCCUUUGCAGCCUAGACAAGAGUCCCUGGACAAUACCAGUCCUGCAGUCUUCGUUGUUUGCUUCCUUCCUGAUGAAACCUCCCAGCCUAAUAACCCAUUUAAAACAAACAAACCAAACACACAAAAAGGAACCUGAACCCAAAACACAGGCAGGAUAAAAAUCUCAUUGCUCAAAUGACGUCCAUCCAAAAAUAAAAUCAAAAAUCAAAUGUGAUUAUGCAGGGGAAAGGAAGAAAGCCAAAUCUUUGCUCUGCUUCUUCCUUCCUCUUCAGGAACUUCUGCUCCACGUCUGAGCUCUGCAGAGUUGUUUAAAACACCUGUCCUACAAAAGUUGCUGUCACAUCUCUAAUUUUGGAUGUGAUAGAUCACAUCUCACAGCUUUAAUUUUCCUGUGUGAGCUCGAGGCCUAUCAAAGCUGGAGCGAGGCACGGUGAGGAAUCUCCCUUGCAGAUCCCUGCGCAGAGGGCCCGGGCCGUGAUUGCUGCCUGGAUUUCAGCUGCCCCUCGGUGCCAUUACCCACAGGACAGCUUUAUUGCAUCCCCAGCUCUGAUCACGAGCUGUCAGCGGUGCCCAGGAGCAGGAGUGACAUCCCCAAGCUGAAGAGGGAGCGGCUGUCACAGGGAGACAAGGCUCAAAUGCCACCGAGGCUGCAGUGGCGGCCAGGCCGCGGCCUGCGGGGAUUUUUGUGUUAGCGGGGUCCCUCAUGGCAGGGAGGAAUGAGGAAUCUCACUCCAUGUCCUCAGAAGGCUAGUUUAUUAUUUUAUGAUACUAUAUUAUAUUAAAGACUACUAUACUAUACAAUACUAAGGAAUACAGAAGGAUGCAGACAGAAGGCUAAAAGAUAGUAAUGAAAACUCAUUACUCUUCCCAGAGCCUUGACCCUGAUUGGCCAUUGAGUCAAAACAAUUCACAUGAAACCAAUGAUUGUUUCAUUGGUAAACAGUGUCCAACCACAUUCCAAAGGAGCAAAACACAGGAGAAGCAAAUGAGAUAAGAAUUGUUUUCCUUUUCUCUGAGGCUUCUCAGCUUCCCAGGAGAAGAAUUCUGGGCAAAGGGAUUUUUCCAGAAAAGAUGACUGUGACAGGGAAUGUCACACACGGGACUGCUGCUGCCACCAGUGAUGCCUUGGCAUUUCAGCUUUUGUAUUUUUUCCAAAUCCUGUACUGCUUUGGUGUAUAACUGAACUCCUCAUAAAGUGUUAGUUACUGUCUUCACAUGUUGGUCAGACACAACGAUCCUGCUGUGUGCUGAGCUCUUGCAUGACUUAAAACCCAGACUGGAAGCCCUUAACAUGAUGGACCACCUCUAAAAAUUCUAAUUGAGCUGCACACUGUAAUAGAUUGGGGGAAAUGAGGUAAAACUUUAUCAGUAAUCUUCGUGCUAACUGCAUUAAAUCUCAGGGUAUAUUUAUAAAGGCAAGGGAGGAUAUUAGCAAAAAGAUUUAUCCAACAGUGAAGGGUUUUUUCCCCAUUAACCAACUUCUAAGUUUCAAAGUUCUUGCAGUUUAAUUGGAGAUAGUGGAAUUUAGGAGAAAUAAUUAUAAACAUGACUACACAGGCAAUAUGCUGCUAUUAAGCACAAAAUACAACAACUGUUUGUUUGGGGCUAGUAAUUGAACCAACACAAUGGGAGAAAAUUCAAAUAAAAUUAACUUUCAUUGGAAAAUGGGAAAACGAUAAUAAGGAAAUUUUGAACAAACUGUCAAAGGCUUAAUCUGACUGCCAUUGAGAGGAGCAUAAAUAAAUGGAGCAAGAACAGAGAGACAACUAAAACCAAGUGGCCUUAUAGAAGGUUAGGGGUUGUUUUUCUCAAGGAAAAGAGAGAAUUUAAUGUCUGAAGUCAAAGUUAGACUCAAUCAAUACAUUCAGGGCUCUUGAGAAAUUUUGAAAAUAGUUUCCUACUUGUAGUGAUUUAGGGCAGUCAGGCAUAUAAAAAGAUUGAAUUGGUUGUGAGAAAUCAAUGACCUCCCUCCAACAUCCCCCCUCCAAGAUUCCCACUGAAAUGAAAACUUGCCAAUUACAAUGGGAGUUUUGAUAAGGCCAACAGGAGAGGGAUGUUCCAGACUCGAAGAAAUAGCAUUUGAAAUGUAAUAUCUGUUAUUUUUUGUGCCAUUAGGGUUUGAGACAGAAGCCUGCUGAACAUCUUAGCUCAAAACCCCAGCCUCUGUCUCCUGUGGCAGAUUAGGGGUGGUGAUGCAAAGCAAAUAAGCAGAGUUUACACCUGCAUGGGAUAAUGAUUCUCCAUCUUCCAGGGAUGUCUGCAGACAUUUGCUCCCCACCCAGGCAGGUACCUGAGCUGCUCCUUCCUGGCAGCCUUUGGAACCCCCUGUCAGAGCUUCCUUUGGGUAAAAUGCGAUGAAAAACCCCUCAUUAGGUAAAAUAAAGACAAUGGAUGAUUGCCCUUCACCAUUUAACACCAGGAUCACUAGUUUCUAAUUCUUUCACCAUGAUGGUCUGUCUUGUGCCAUGCCAAGCACACAGGUAUUGUGGGGUAGAUCCACUGAUGUGGGGAGCUGGUGCUGGCUCUACAGUUCCUGGGGCUUUUAACUCCUCCCCUGGGAUGAAUUUCCUGAAGGUGUGCAUUGGUUAUGCUCCUGUGGGGACAUUUUCCAGUUUAUUUUCACCUGAGAGGAACCAACUGGUGCAAUGUGAGAGUUGGCCACGAUGGGAAGAGAUGGAUGGGAUGGGGGAUUCAGUUUGGUGAGUGCAGAAGGGAGGUCCUGGCUUACAGAGCCAGGUGCAAACAUGGAAUGCAGGUCACCAUAACACUGCACUGCCCUUUUCCAAGCCUCUCCCCCUUUUCCAUACCUUCUCUUUUCCAAUUCAGGCAUUUCAGUUGGGGCAGCAUCCUUUCUUGACUUGCUGCUAUGGCCACUUGCCAGAAUAUCUCCCCGAGGACUCUGAAGACAACCAAGCUCUUGGAGAUGAACCUGUCAAACCUCCACAUAAGCACAGGUAGAGAGGAUCCCAAAAAAUCCUGAUUGCCAUGGCUUCCUGCAAGCACCCAGUGAUUCCUCCUAAAGGCCAAGCCCAUUCCCUCUUCUCUUGCCUUCCAAGAGCAGUGUUUGAGGGAAAGGCCAAGCAGCUGUGCUUACAGGGUCUCACAGAGAUCCCAAAAAGCUGAUAAUCAGGUUUGACAGUCAUGUCAUAAUUGUUAACAAUGGUACUGGAGACACGCCAACAACCUCACACUCUGCUGCUGCUGCUUCUCUGGCUGAGAGGAAUUGCUCCACAAGUGCAAGUCUGCAAACCAAAUUUGACAUCAAGGGAUGUUUCACUGGGAGGAAAUGUAGAGCACUGGGUUGAGUUGCUGCCAGAUUACACAGCAGACUCGCAGGGCAAAGUAGUGAAAGAGAAGAGGCUGCAGUGACACCACAUUAAUAUUUGGUAUUUCUGCUCUCUGUGCACUCACACUUAUUAUGUUGUUAAGGCCUUUAGGAGCCAGAUGGAGAGCCUGGCAGGCAGGUUUGGCAGAGGCUGUUGGGCAUGCUCUGCUGGGACAGCCAGCAGUGAUGGAUUCACGUUGGCUGCUGUACCUCACCCCACGAAAGGCUCUGCUCUUCUCUGCUCCUGAUACACCACGCCGAGAAAAGUUUCCAAAAGUGUGAUUUGGAGCUCCUUGUGCUCCUUCCUGCACAGCCAUCUGUCCUGGUUAACAUGCACCCAAUAAUGUACCUGCCAGAAUAAAUCACAGCAAAUGAUACUCUUCCAUGUGGGUGUCAUGAAUUUCAGAGCUCAAGGUUCUGGGAUUGUUUCAGGCCGAUGGAGGGGACCAGCUCCUUGUGAAAUUUGUUGACCCUCAGACAGCUAUAACUCUUAGCAACCUUCACUGUGAAAGGAAUCAAAAUACAAAUCAACACCAUAAAAAGUGACACAUGAGAACGCUGUCCUUUCUGCCUGUGUUUGUAAUUCCUUCUCAAUGGCUCUAUUAGAACUCGUAUCAGCAAGCCCAUGCAGAUCCCUGCACGAGCUGUUAAUGAUUAUAGACUGUUGUUUACCUUAUCAGGGAAGCUGUCAAUAGGCCUAGUUAAUGAAUUUUUUUUUUUUCUUGUCAUGGGCAUUUUAUUUAACAGUUUAUUAACUCCAAAUCCAAUUCACUAGAGGUCUUGGCAGAAUUCUAGAAGAUAUAUUAUACAUAUGCUCAUGCUUUCUUCUCUAUUUAGACAAUUUCUGGUCCAGAAUUAUUACAUCAAUUUCCCAGCAGUGCAGAUACAACUCUGACCACUCCAAUUAUCUGCCUGCUCCACAAUACAGCAGCUGUAACUUCGAGCCAUCAUAAAGAAGUUUAUUAAUUUAGCUCCAGCUGAGUGCCAACCAUUUCACUGCAGUGCAACAGAAAGUGAUCUGCCCACAGAAGAAAUCUUGCCCUGUUCCUCUCUUGGCUUUUCUAAAAGGACUUUACAAAAUUUGCAAGGAUGAACAGUGGCUCCAGUGCAGAAUCUGCAUGGAAGCUUCCCUAAAUCCCUGCAAGAACGAAGGAGUAUUUCAAGUGAGAAACUGCUAUUUUUUGAGCCUCAGAAGUCAUGUUUGCUGGGGAUGCACCAGCACUGAGGCUCUUUUUUCCCCUCAUUUUGAAGGGCUGGAAUUUGUUUGUUUACACUUUUGGUGUGUGCUCUUUCCCCUUGAGUCAGCUUUUGCUGGCAACUCUGAAUAUAAACCUCCAAAUUCACUCCUAACCAUAUUCUUCUCAAGAAUGCUCACAAACUUAAUAUCCUGAGCAUUGGAUACACCUGACCUUCAGACAAAAUUGGGUUGAAUUUCAACUGACCACUGUGCUCUGGGGCUGUCACCUGGGAUGUCCAACAGCCUGGCAGGAAGGAGCAGAGCUGCAGCAAAAAGAGAUGUUUAGAACAGAUAAAGCUGGAGUGUAAUGGACAGUCUAUCAUGGAGGAGUCAUCUGCAGAGCACCUGGGGAUCACAGAGCUGGCCCAGGAAAAUUCCCAGGGAUUUCCUAAGCCAGCUGAGAUUGGUCUGGGAUGCAAAGGGAUUCUUUUGCCUGCUCUCUAUGUUUGGAAUGGAUUCUGUACCUCCUGAAUUACUGAAGCAAAACAAAAUUCCCUGAGCUCAUGGCAAGCCCAGUGCUGCAGCAAACCCAGCCACUGAAGCUGAGCACGUUUUGCAGACAUGUUUGGGAUGCCUGAGCUAACUCAUGAAUGAAAGUGCAUAAUGCUGAAGCCUGAACCUACUUUAUUAUAUUAACAUUUAAAGUGUCAGAUGAUUUUAAAGUUCUACAGAAUUAUUCCUUGGCUGCAUGGAAGGUGCUGUGGAAGAAAUGGCUGAAGGGAUGAAGACAGCUCCUGGUGUUUGGCUGACAUGAAUUCCCCAGCUAGGAGGGAAAGUUUUGGAAAAAAACUAAAAUCUGGCAUCACAUUUGCAAGCAAAUAUUGUCCCAUUACAGAAAUCACAUUAAAAAUAUGAGUAAAGUUCUUUGGAGCAGAAUGAAAAAUCCCUGGGAGCUGCUGUUCCUCCUCUCCUCACAGUGCCAGUGAUCACAUUUCAGAGCACUUUUCAGGAGUAUUUCUUUGCUGGCCAAGUACUUCCUAACCACAUUUCAUUGGCAAUGCCUUCCUGUGCUUUGGUUUCUGUCUUCACCUCCUGAACAGCAAAUUCAGAGUCAUUUUUUGGAUUCAUUUAUCCUCUGUGGGCUCCCCUCCUCAAAAGUCAGUUUGAGCCCAGGAAAGGAGUAAUUUCCCCUCCAGAGAGAACCUCCUGCCCUGUGAGAGCUCCUCAGCCCUCUAAACAAAAUAUCUCAUUUCUUUAAUAAACUAAGCUGAGCUUUUGGUGGAAUUAAAACCUCUCAUUAAAAAAAAUGUUCCAUAUUUAGCAAACUUGAAUAGUACAUCAGGCAAUUUGUUUGGAACAAAGGAUGGCAGGGGUGGUGGGAAUACAAUUUUGUGUUUAAUUGGAUUUGAUUAGGAAAGUUACACAGCCCAUCACUCAGCUUCCAGGACAGCCAUAAAAUAUCUUUGCCUUCCACUGAACUGCUGGCCAGGCCUCCAGGCAUCAGCCUGGUUCCUGCUGAACACUUCAGCUCAAGGUUGCCAGUUAAUGGGUAAUGAUAAGAACUGAUCCCUUGCAUUUUAAUGGGUUUCACAAAAUCAGGCAGAAGUACAGCAAAAAAUAACUUGAAAUACAGGGGAGUGAUGGUAUUUUAAUGCCUGGUAGUUGCAGAUGUUCAAAUUACUGUAAUGCUAUUAAAAUCUGUAGCUAUUAAUACACAAAUAUUUCAACGACACACAAAAGCAGAGUCAAAAAACCCAAGGCUGAAAUAAUGACAAAACUAAAAUUGCCUGUUUAUUGGAAUUAGCCUUCAAUCACUUCUUUCUAAUGGUCAAGAGGCUGCACAUCUGACAGCACCACUCUCAUUGCUCUCCCUCCCAGAGUUCAUAGAUUGCUUUUAUGCCUCCAUCUACCUAUAUGUGAAAUCAUUUCCCCAUUUUAAUUUUCUUUCUCUGUGAUUUCAAGAUAUUGUAUAUCAGUUUGCACUUGCUGGGCACUUAACCUUCCUAUUAUCAUUUUCUUUCUGUGAGAUGCUCUCCAGCACAAUUGCACACAAUCCACUUUCUUUGAUGGCUUUUGGGAUAGUCACUGUGGCCUGCUGCAGGUCCUGCCUGCAUAAAGGACAUUUCCAUCCCCAGAACACCACUGGGGUUAUCACAGAGGUGUAAACCCUGAAAUGCAGAUUCUGUCAGGGCAAAGGGAGGCUUCCAGUGCUGCUCUUUAAUCCAGCCACAGAAUUAAUUUCCUUCAUACAGCCAGAGCCACUCAUUAAGCCUCCCCUUCUGGCCCUUCCCUCCUGCUGCUCCCAACACCAGUUGCACUCUCCAUUUAUUAGCACGAGCAGCAGCUCAUGGAGGCAAUGAAAUGGGAAUUUUGAGAUGCUUGGUGAUUUAAUCAAUUGGGUUCGAUGCCAAAAGAAGUGUUACCAUUGAAUUCAGUGAAAUUGGACCAGAGCUGUGCUGAGAACAGAAUUAUUUUAAGAUAACACCUCCUAGGCCUGUGGGGAGCAGGAUUGUCCAAAAUCCAGCUGGCCAUGGGCACGAGGAGCACGGCUGAUGUUGGGGUCAGUGUUGGUGACCAUGGACCAGGCAAGGGAGUGAAUUCAGCUUCUCCUGUGGCACCACCACGCCAAGGAAUCUCCCUUGGGCUUUUGAUACAGAUUAAAAAAAAAAACAAAACAGACAAACCCCCAGUUGUUACAGCUGACCUCAAUGUUGAAAUAAAUGCACAAUCCCUUAACUGGGCCUGCAGAUCAAGGCCUCAGAUUAGUUGGUAUCAGUGUCAGCUUAAGGAGAGAAGUGUCACUUAAAAAUUAGGAAGAUUAAACUGACAUUAAGCACUUUUCUGUAAAUAAGAAUCCCAUAAGUAUUACUGGAAAGAGUCGAUUUUCUACUCAUUUAACUGCAUCCAAAGGAUCCUAUAUUGUGACCACAUAUUUUUGCCAUUGACACAAUUAUGCCUGAAAGUGUGAUUGGAAAAGGUGAGCUACUCUAACCUUUAUGCCUAGAAGGACUGAAAACUAAAUUUUCAACAGGUUUUAAAUUUAUUUUUAAUAUUCUACUUUCUAGGCUGUUUCAGUUAAUUGAAACUGAUGGUGAUUGUCAGUGGUAAGGUCAGACUAAUGGUCUUUCAUUGAGCCCCAUUGGCAAAAUCCCACUUUGGUAAUGUCCUGGAGAUGUUUUACAAACCAGGUUCUGCUUAAGCUUGAGGAGAGUUCCUUGGUAUUUCUGCCAGUGGUAAGAGAAACUCUUCAAAAGCUAAAGCAGCUGGGAGAAAAACAUUGAUUUUUUUGUUUGUUUGUUUGUUUGUUUGUCUUUCUGGAGGAAUUUAUGGUGUAUCUGAGUCUCCUUGUUACUAGUGGUUAAAUUCCCAUCUCAAAUUUGAAAAAGACAAGGUUUGUCAAAGCAGGACACAAAAGUUAUGUGGGCAAUCCAUGUGGUGAAAACGUGAACAUGGAAAAACUGCUGGGAAAAGGACACAGCAACUAAAGCAGAGAACAGUCAGAGGGUGUAGUUAACAAGAAAAAGAGCUCAAUUGAUAUUUUAGGUCUACAGCUGCCAUCAGGAUGGACAGGGUUAAGCCAGGUCUUCAAAACAAAUUAGUAAUUGUGAAGUUUAAAUAUGAUCUUCAUGUACCUGCUUACACCUGUGCAGGGUGUUUUUUCCCACUUUGAUUCUUAGGAAGCUUUAA